UCUUCUUCAAAAAAAAAAAGAAAAAAAAUGUCUGAAGAUCCCUUAAAAGUGGCCAUUUCUGCUAUCAAUACUUAUUUUCUUUUGUUUUCAUUUAAUUUUGACCUUUUUUGGUCGUGAAACCCCCAACCCAGCUUCUUCUUUCUCAUACCCCCUCUCCCGAUAUCCGACUCCGGCAAUGCCUUGAUAGCAGCUGCUAAGAACGGCGCGGCAUUGAUCUACCUAAUUAAAAAUACCUACAUAAUUAUUCAUCAACGGAAUGGUGGGAUUGAGAAGGGAUUUGAGACGGACAAGGAAGAAGAAAUAUGUGCACUGCUAAGCACAAGGCAUCCCUAAUUUGAGAGAAGCGAGAUGUGAUGGGGGCAUUAAUUUUCUUAAAGAAAAUAGUAUAUAAUAAGUAUUUUUAGUAGAUACAAUAUAAAAACUGACAUGGAAUAUGAAGCAAGUGUCAUCCCAUUUUUUAAAAACUUUUAAUUUGUACCCAUUUUUUAAACAAUUGGGCCCCUUUCUCCUUCUCCUCCUCAAAGUUAUAUCCGCCUCUUCUUUCUCAAACUUCUCCUUCUCCCUUUCAGAUGUACCAUUUGUCAUUUGUGGACCUCUUCUAUGUUAUUAUUAUUUUGUAGCUUUUUUUAUUUUUUCUGUCUAACGUAACAACGACAGCACAAAGUUGCAUCUACAUUCUCGAAUCGAAGCAGUGGGUUUUUGAACUUUUGAAGCUUCAUAUCAAAAGUCCGUAAAUAAGGGAAGAGGUUUCCAUGUCUAAGUUCUCGGAAUGCUGGAUAUGAAUCUGGUAAGUGAUUUUCCUUCUAAAGUAAAAGCAAAUUUCUCCAUGGGAAGAGGUGUUCCAUUUCUUGUGCUUUACAAAUUGCUUUGACUUUUUAUCUAAUGAUGUGAUGCAGAGGAACCCCAAACAAGUAUUUUAUUUGUUGGAUAUGUCUAAUCGAUACUACUGUGCACUCCUGAAAAUCAACAUGCACAAUGAACAAAUUAAGAAACCGGCACAAAGGUACACCUUAUUUCGCAGAACUAAAGAGAGUUACAGCCAUGCAGUCUUAGAACAUGGACAUAGCUGUUUGAAAUGGCGCUUGGAAGUGCAUGAGAUUAGUAUUGUGGCUUAAAAGUGUUGACUUUUGAAUAGGAAAGAAAUAUCAACCUUAAGAGAUAAAUGUUUAUGAGGUGAAUAUGGUUCAAUUGAAACUUGGUGAACCCUAGUUAGCCCGUGCGUCAUUAAUAUUGUAGUUAGAUGGUUGAAGAAGACAAUGGAUAGUGGUUGAAAGUAUUAAUUAAGGAGAAAAAGGUCAGAUUUGUCCCUCUAUUUUAAAAAAUUAUCCAUGUUUAUUCCUAAUUUUACUAUCGGUCCAAAUAACUCCAUACCGAUUAGAAAGUAGUCUUCAUUUGUUUAAAUCGCUGGUCUUCACAGUUUGUUAAAACAAAAAGGACUCAACAACUGAAAUUGCUUUUUCCUUGGUUUGGUUAAUAAACAAUGUAGUAUUAAUACACCACAUUCAUUCACCAUUAUCUUAAUACCAAAAUUUCCCUUUUAAUCUCUUACCUGUAUUUUUAGAUCACAAAAUUAAAACUUUUUAAUUUUUUUCUAUCAAUUUACAGAGAAAGAAAAAGGGACUUAGGUGGUGUCAAAAGUCAAACCUAUCAAAACUUUCUAGGAUUCAGUUACUUACAAUUUCUUGGUCCAUCUCCGUUGCUCUAUGCUUUUUUGGAUUAACCAGGAAAUUAAUCAAUAGUCAAUUUGUUAACAUUUGUGGGAAGUUUCGGUUAAACAUUCUCUGUACUAAUCCCCUUCUGUCGGCCGUUUCAACUUAAAACCCAGGUGCGUAUCUCUUUUUGAUUUGUUUCCCAUUCUGUAUCACUUUUAUUUUUCUUCUAUAACAUUUGGAAAUUUUAUUUGCAAUUUUCUUUGUGGUUCAAGUAUUUUCUUUUUUUUUUUAUUUCUAUGCUGGCCGCUGGGAACUCUUGGAUUUUUUUAUUUAUUUAAUUUUUUUGAAAAUUUACUUUUGCGGGGUUGGGUGUUAUUGAAUUGGGUUUUCCCUGACACCUGACGCAGCUCUUUUAUUUUGCCUGAACAAAGUCAAGUUCUUGAAUUUUUUUGGUAGCCCUUUCCUUUUGUGUUGCUCUUUUUUUAAUUUUGAUUUCCGAAGUACAUCAAUUGCAAUUAUUUUAGUACAAAAUUAGUAAACAUAUUAUUAUUUAGUUAAUAAAAGGUAAAUUGAUGACUAGAAAUUGGAUGUGUUUGUUUCCUUACCUUCCAAUAAUAUGGAAUCUUUUCAUCUAAUUGGAAUUUCGCCCUUAAGAAUCGCCUUUUCAUCUGGCAAGACUUAUUAGGUCUCCAUAACUUAUCCUUUUGGUGCGGGAAUAAUAGUAUAGAAAGCUUUCCCAAUAAGCUGACCUUUUUGGAAUUUUCGAGGAUGAACCAGUGGCAAAAAAAUUGUUACUUUUUGUAUGUCUUUUGCAAUAACUCCUUGUUACUCCAUUAAUGAAUUUUCUUAUCUUAUCAAAAUGAAAAAAGGAGUAAAAGAAAAGAAGUAUUUCCUUAGGAUUACUUAUUGUGGCUAUUAUCUUUCUUAUCUCCUGCUUCAUUCUCAAUUUUAUAUCAGGUGGACCCUUUUGUCGGAGCUCUAAAGAAUCAAAAUAUAAGAUCGAACUUCUUCCGUAAGAUUCACCUUUUUAUCCGGUAUUACUAUUUGUCUAAAAAUCUAGGUUGGAAUAUGUGCUUAUAUAAAUAAAAGUUGAGCUUGGCUUUGUAUAUCCGAAGGGAAGCGGGACAAGUUGCCUUAUGAGUUAACCCGCUUAAUUGCUGACAGUGAAAUUAUCUGUUACGUAAAUCAGAAGAUUGCUUAUAUGGCUUGUGAUGAUCAGUUUGAGCUUGAAACAGCCAACACCAGCUCUCUACUCUAAAAUAUGUACUUGAUGCUUUCUAUGAAAGUGGACCAUAUUUGAUAAUUUAUUAUACUUGAUACUUUCUGUAAAAGUGGACCAAAGUAAUUUCUUGAAUUUAUGAAAUGCUCUGAAUGCAAAUAAGCUGAGUUUGUUCCUUUUGAUUUAUUCUACAUUAGUGUUGUGUCCUUUUCAGGUUUGUAAUGUUAAUAGGUUACAUAUUUUGUUUUAGACAAUGUGUAGGUAAAGAUUGCAAUGAGCAAGAACUUAAGAUGUAGUCCUGUAAAUUCUGCAGUUGAUUU